CCGCAUCCCGCGUUGCUGUGGGGAGGAGAGAGGAGAAGGCAGCGGCGGGAGGCGGGAGGCGGGGGACAGACCUGGACCAGGGCGGAGGAGGAACACGCCACCGCGCCCUCUCCCUCUCCUGGGCGCUCGGGUCGCCGGCCCCACGUCGCUCGCUUCACCCACCGCACGCAGUUCCGCUGCGAGCGCGAGGAGGCGCAGGGCCCUCGCAGAGCUGGGGCGGAGGUCCUCCUUGCUCCCCCGGCGCCCCAGAGCCGAGGAUUCGCCGCGGAGGACCGCGCCGGGGCUGGAAGCGCCCGCGACCCCGCGAGUGCCGGCUGCGACAGACUGUGGCCUGAUGGACACCUGGUGUAGACAAUGAGGGAAGAACUCGCCUCUCACACCCAAGAGGUGACUCCAGAGCAAGGCCCAGAUGACCCCACGUGCCGGGACGAUGCGGCUGGCCUGCAUGUUUUCAUCCAUCCUGCUGUUCGGAGCCGCGGGCCUCCUCCUCUUCAUCAGCCUGCAGGACUCCACGGAGCUCACCUCCCAGCAGGUGCCAGGAGUAAAGUUCAACAUCAGGCUACAGCAGCCGCGCGACGACUUCCCGCCAGCAGUUCCCAGGAUG